rnacentral:rRNA from 1 species
ACGGGAGGCAGCAGUGGGGAAUAUUGGGCAAUGGGGGAAACCCUGACCCAGCAACGCCGCGUGAAGGAAGAAGGCUUUCGGGUUGUAAACUUCUUUUACCAGGGACGAAGGACGUGACGGUACCUGGAGAAAAAGCCACGGCUAACUACGUGCCAGCAGCCGCGGUAAUACGCAGGUGGCAAGCGUUGUCCGGAUUUACUGGGUGUAAAGGGCGUGUAGGCGGAGCAGCAAGUCAGAAGUGAAAUCUCCGGGCUUAACCCGGAGACUGCUUUUGAAACUGUUGCCCUUGAGUAUCGGAGAGGCAGGCGGAAUUCCUAGUGUAGCGGUGAAAUGCGUAGAUAUUAGGAGGAACACCAGUGGCGAAGGCGGCCUGCUGGACGAAAACUGGCUCUGCGGCGCGCAAGCGUGGGGAGCAAACGGGAUUAGGUACCCUGGUA